rnacentral:lncRNA from 1 species
UCUACAUGUCAUUGCUUGUUAUCGUUUGGUUAUCGCACCCCUUGAUUGCAUUGUAUAGUUGUGGAUAGACAUGUAGAGCAGGCUGCAUUCGUAUUUCAGUAUCUCUGUGGACCUUGGGUCCAGGCAACACAUCGACUCUCUUGUCGUGUGUUUCGAUCUGGUUGAUCGAGGUUCGGCGUUGUACGCCCUAGCUUCUAUUUCAGUUUGGCAUUAUACGCCCUCGUUGUUGGCUUCGGCCUAGGCACCGGCUUUAGCCGGGUUUGUUUUUGUUUGAGCAUACCAGCAUGACUUAGUCACGGCACUUGGGGGUAUUCAUGACACCGGAUCGGUUUGGCCACCGAUCGGAGGUGUACUUAUCCGGAUAGGUCGUCCUGUUGGGCGGAUGGAUCAGGUCGGUGCAGUUAGUGACAGGCAGCGCUUAAGGUCUGCGGACCGAUACAGCAGGCACAGAUUGGGUACAGUUUCUGGUUCAGUACAUUGAGGCAUUCUUUGCAUUGUUUUCUAUACAGUAGCAGGUUUAUUUAUUGCUUCCUAUUUAUCUGUUGUAGCUACUGUAGUUCUAUUUCAUAUCAGCUUACAGAUAUAUACUCGUUUAUCUAUCUCCUUUGGUUUCCGGUGAUUACGACUUGCCUUCGUGGCUCUGUCGUACCCACUGAGAAAACCAUGGUUGCGGUUUCUCACCCCCCUUUCCCCCCCCCCAGGUGACAGAGACGAGGAGUUGGACUUUGGGCUCGACGAGAGGACGAUCUAGUUAGACGGCAGUAGCGACCGUCACCCUGGUUAUUUCUUUCCCGCACUUAGUAGUUUUUCUUAAUAAUGGUUCAGUUAGCUGAUCUUAUGUAUGCUUGAAUGUAUGUGAACUGUGGUGCUGGUUUCUUUUAUACAUGAGAUUGGAGUUUUCGAUCUGUGGUUUUGGUUCUGUGGAGAUUUGGUUUUCUUGUAGUUAUGCAUCGUGGAUUUCUACCCCUCGAGGUAGCUGGUUUUCAAAAUAGAGUUUCCGUGUGGGAAACAGUUUUAAAAAGGUUUUCAAUGGUUUUUCAUGAUGAAUGAAUUAGAGUUCAAAAACAAAAGCUUCCGUGUGGGGAGCACUUUUAAAUAGGAUGUUUGUUGUAUUGUGCAUUGCAUCAUCCAGCGCCUAAGGAGUGCUUAGAGGCAUGCAUCAUUCUAAGGAUUGUUAGCUGUAUGGAAAUGCAUAUCAUGCUUUGGUUGUUGAUUGGUAAAUGUAGGUUGUGGUUGAGAUCCUGUUGUAUCCGUUGGUACGCCGUGUAAAUACAAAGGAGAUUCUGCCCGAGUGGACAGAGGAACUUUGUAUUUGUGGCUGGUCUGUACGUCACGUGGGCCAGGUUGAAAAAAAAAAAAAAAAAAAUGGCACGCUUUCCGCAACUCUGUUUUCAAAAGGCUUUUAAAAUCGGCCCCGGGGCGUGACAUUUUGUCAUUUGGUAAUGAACGAU